rnacentral:rRNA from 1 species
UAACACAUAGGUAACCAACCCUAACGCGGGGGACAACCCAGGGAAACUUGGGGUAAUACCGCAUAAGACCACGGACCGGGAGGUCUGUGGUAAAAGCAGCAAUGCACUUUAGGAUGGGCCUACGGCCUAUCAGGUAGUUGGUGAGGUAAUGGCUCACCAAGCCUAAGACGGGUAGCCGGACUGAGAGGUUGAACGGCCACACUGGAACUGAAAUACGGUCCAGACUCCUACGGGAGGCAGCAGUGGGGAAUUUUGUGCAAUGGGCGAUAGCCUGACGCAGCGACGCCGCGUGGAGGAUGAAGGUUUUCGGAUUGUAAACUCCUUUUGUAGGGGAAGAUAAUGACGGUACCCUAUGAAUAAGGCACGGCUAACUCUGUGCCAGCAGCCGCGGUAAGACAGAGGUGGCUAGCGUUGUUCGGAAUUACUGGGCUUAAAGGGCGCGUAGGUGGUGGCAUAAGUCCGAGGUGGAAGACUAAGGCUUAACCUUACAUUGCCUUGGAAACUGUAUAACUUGAGUCAGCG